AACGAACGCUGGCGGCAGGCUUAACACAUGCAAGUCGAACGCCCCGCAAGGGGAGUGGCAGACGGGUGAGUAACGCGUGGGAACAUACCCUUUGGUGCGGAACAACAACUGGAAACGGUUGCUAAUACCGCAUGAGCCCUACGGGGGAAAGAUUUAUCGCCAAAGGAUUGGCCCGCGUCGGAUUAGCUAGUUGGUGGGGUAAUGGCCUACCAAGGCGACGAUCCGUAGCUGGUCUGAGAGGAUGAUCAGCCACACUGGGACUGAGACACGGCCCAGACUCCUACGGGAGGCAGCAGUGGGGAAUAUUGGACAAUGGGCGCAAGCCUGAUCCAGCCAUGCCGCGUGAGUGAUGAAGGCCCUAGGGUUGUAAAGCUCUUUCAGCGAGGAGGAUAAUGACGUUACUCGCAGAAGAAGCCCCGGCUAACUUCGUGCCAGCCGCCGCGGUAAGAC
rnacentral:rRNA from 1 species